UAGUAGUAGCAUUGUAUCAACUUUUUGUUUUUACAGCGCUUGCGCUUGGGCUGAGGUUCAGUAACGUCUCAACUAGCUGUCAAAACGUUAGCGCGAUACUGAAUCGUACCAAAAGUCUAUCAACGUCCGAGUUUCAUUUGCGCUUCAGUUGAAAAAAUUUAGCGCGAUUGCCCUGCUGUACUACCUACCUG